rnacentral:rRNA from 1 species
UGACGUAUGUAGAGUUUGAUCAUGGCUCAGAAUCAACGCUGGCGGCGUGCCUAACACAUGCAAGUCGCACGAGAAAGGGACUUCGGUCCUGAGUAAAGUGGCGCACGGGUGAGUAACACGUGAAUCAUCUACCUCCGGAUGGGGAAUAACUGAGAGAAAUCUUAGCUAAUACCGCAUAAUACCUACGGGUCAAAGCAGCAAUGCGUUUGGAGAGGAGUUCGCGGCCGAUUAGCUAGUUGGCGGGGUAAUGGCCCACCAAGGCAAUGAUCGGUAUCCGGCCUGAGAGGGCGCACGGACACACUGGAACUGAAACACGGUCCAGACUCCUACGGGAGGCAGCAGUGGGGAAUUUUGCGCAAUGGGGGAAACCCUGACGCAGCAACGCCGCGUGGAGGAUGAAGUAUCUUGGUACGUAAACUCCUUUCGAUAGGGAAGAUAAUGACGGUACCUAUAGAAGAAGCCCCGGCUAACUUCGUGCCAGCCGCCGCGGUAAU